ACUAAUCCAAGGCUGCCCAAUCCUGUUCCUGGAUGUCUACCAUUCUGUAGGUAUUCACUUAAACCCUAAAUUGGCACACCUGAUUCUAUUAAUUAGCAGCUCAGUGAGCUGCCAAUGAGGCGUACUUUGUUAGGAUCGGAGUGAAAACUUACACGAGAGGAAGGUAGAUCUCCAGAAACAGGAUUGGGCAGGCCUGCUGUAAUGCAAUGCAAACAGGAGCCACAGACAAAAAGUUAAACCAAGAAAAUGCCAUAUGGAUUCUAACUUGACAUUGUAAAAACUUGUUCCCGGACUACGUCACUUCAACGUUGCUGAUAUGUAUCUGGCAGAGGACAACUACAGGAAGGCCAGGAAAAGACUAUACAGCCUUCACUUACACAGAUCUGCAACUGGGGUCUUCCACCACAUUCAGCUCAUUCGUCAUGAACUGCCGAUCCAGAGGACGACUACUGGGAGGAUGCUGCAGGACCUCUGGCUUUCCCCGCCCUGGAUUCCUUUGGCUGGAGGCCUCACACCAGUCCAGCCUCCCUGCACAUUCUGUAGAAAUGGCCACGCUGCGUGAUGAGAUUGGACGGGGAGUCCAUCUCUGCGAUGUGUCCUUUGUCCAUUACAAUAACUCUGUAAGCGAUAAAAAUGAGUCAGCUUUUUCAUAAUGGCAGGAAUUAACAUCUUGUAUGCCACUUUCCCAUCUUUCACUGAUAUUAAAGCCCAGUUUUAGCAACUCCAAAA